rnacentral:tRNA from 1 species
GCCUUUGUGGUGUAAUGGUCAGCACACUCAACGCCUAUUCGAAAGUCCAAGGUUCGAGUCCUGGCUAGAGCA